GGUCCUAUAGCUCAGUCGGUUAGAGCGUGGUGCUAAUAACGCCAAGGUCGCGAGUUCGACCCUCGUUGGGACCA